ensembl:lncRNA
UGACUGAUUACUUAACUUUAUUAAGGAGAUAGUACAUUUAAAGUGAACUUGAUGGAAGCCUAUGAGGGAUAAGCCACUCAAUGAAAUCAUCUGUUACCAAAAAAUCAAAAAAAAGAAUUUAAACAGGGAGAUUUACUUCCCCUUGCUGUAACCUUGUGAUAAGAUAAGCAGCAAAAACAGUAAAGUGAUGGACACACACACACACACACACACACACACACAGACACAGACACACAGUAUCUAAUAAUAGCAGCAUCAGGUCACAGUUUAAACACACUGUCCUUUGGUUCAUUGGGGAAACCGUUUCCCUUGUUUGCUUCAUAGGAUAUUGAACUCAGUUUUUACCUUGUGUUUUUCCUCCACGUCACCCCGACAUUAGUACUCUGUGCUGGUGUAGUUUUUAGUUUUGGUACUAGAGGCGUUCUGUUCUCUUUCUGCUUAUGCAAACUGACCAGUGCAUCUUCCGUUUGCUAUUUAACACCAGUUUAUUUCUACUGAAGAAUCUCCAGGCACCCAAUUUAAGUCCAAUUCAACAUUAAAAUAAUUCUGGUUAAUACACAACACUGCUACAGCCUGCAAACUCAUGCUUUGAUGUUAUUAUACAAUUCAGGACUGCACAAUGAAACGUAGCUGCAGCUUCCUGCACAAGCAUAUAAAAUACAAUACAAUUAGGUUUUUAACAUCUCUGUCUCUCUCUCCCUGUAGGUGAGCGACUGCAAACAUCUGGCAGCAUGACCAGCGUCAACUCUCCAGCCUGUCUGCUCGCCCGUAACCACUUUUACAAAAACUCGUCCCCCAGCCACGAGAAGAUAAAUCCUGUUGUUGAAGUGUUCAGCUGUCAGAACCACUCCAUCACACACAAUCCGAGACGGUUCACCCUCUGGGUCACCAUGGUAACGCCUCCAGGUAAAACACUACACACAGACCAGGUAACAUGUGGUACGCUACAAUGUGAUUACAAUGACCAUGCAGUGCGUGCACCCAGUGACCGGUACAAAAUG